rnacentral:rRNA from 1 species
AGUGGCGGACGGGUGAGUAACGCGUAGGAAUCUACCUGAUAGUGGGGGAUAGCCCGAAGAAAUUCGGAUUAAUACCGCAUAAUCUAUUCGUAGUAAAGUGGGGGACUUUCGAGCCUCACGCUAUCAGAUGAGCCUGCGUAAGAUUAGCUAGUUGGUAGGGUAAAAGCCUACCAAGGCUACGAUCUUUAGCUGGUCUGAGAGGAUGAUCAGCCACAUCGGGACUGAGACACGGCCCGAACUCCUACGGGAGGCAGCAGUGGGGAAUAUUGGACAAUGGGGGCAACCCUGAUCCAGCAAUACCGCGUGUGUGAAGAAGGCCUGAGGGUUGUAAAGCACUUUCAAUUGUGAAGAAAAGCUAGUGGUUAAUAGCCAUUAGCCUUGACGUUAACUUUAGAAGAAGCACCGGCUAACUCCGUGCCAGCAGCCGCGGUAAUACGGAGGGUGCAAGCGUUAAUCGGAAUUACUGGGCGUAAAGCGUGCGUAGGCGGUUUAUUAAGUCAGAUGUGAAAGCCCCGGGCUUAACCUGGGAACUGCAUUUGAAACUGGUCAACUAGAGUAUGGUAGAGGAAAGUGGAAUUUCUGGUGUAGCGGUGAAAUGCGUAGAUAUCAGAUGGACAUCAAUGGGCGAAGGCAACUUUCUGGACAUACUGACGCUGAGGUACGAAGCUGGCUAGCUAACAGAUAGAUACCCUGGUAGUCCACGCCCA